AUCUGCUGCUGGAGGAGGAGAGCUGUGCGGACGACCUGGACGGGGAGCUGGACGGGCUCUGGACGACUAUCUCCAUCUUCAUCACGCUCUUCCUGCUCAGCGUCUGCUACAGCGCCACCGUGACCCUCUUCAAGGUGAAAUGGAUCUUCUCCUCAGCAGUGGAGCUGAAGAGGACGAUCGUCCCCGACUACAGGAACAUGAUUGGGCAGGGCGCCUAGAGCUCCUGUGGGUGGAGGGCAUGGUCGCCCCAGACCUGGCGGGGCCACGUCCAGCGCCCUGUGCUGCUCCGUUUCAGCCAGGCCUGCUCCUUUGCGCUCUGACCCAGCCAACCUCUAACCUCUCACCCAGACUCACCCACAUCUCCACUCUGACGUUGCGGCCAUGGCAACUUGCCCCGCCCCCCUAACACCCAAGUGGAAAACAAGUGGUGACCCCAUCGAGCUGAUGGACGCUGAGGGCCUCUGGGAAGCCUGCAAGACACCAGUGGGCUGCGAGUCCCCCACCAGGAACACACACGUCGGAGUUCAGCUCUGCCUGGAGGAGCAGGAGGCUGGGUCCAGGGCAGUCUACACAGGGCACCCGCAUCUUGCCCAGGCCUGGAUCCAGACCGCAGGUCCCUGGGGGAGGAAGCUGAGUCCCCACACCCUAUGCACAGGGCCCAGCCCCCGCAUCUUACCCAGGCCUGGAUCCAGACCACAGGUCCCCGGGGGAGGCCCCUGUGUCAGAUCCCUGGGAACAGCUGUCCUGCAGGGGCCCAGCCUCCCAGCAGGCAAGCUCCUGGGAGGACCACUACCGGUCACUCAGGUCACCUCCACCGAGGACGCUGCUGGGAGCAGGGCCUGGGCCCACAGAGGCCGCAGGAGCCCCGGUGGGGAAGGGGUGACGUCCCGCCAACGGGCCGCCUGGAGACGGGCCUGGUGACCGGUUCCCAGUGGACAGAGCUGCAGGGGCUCCCAGGACACAGGACGGCAGGGCAGCCAGUCCAUCCGGUGGCCAACAGCCUGACACUCCCCCAGGAGCUCGGCCUGCACCGAGAGCGGGGGUGAGAGGUGAGACCAGAGACCCACAGAGGCCCAGCCCCGGGCCCCGGGCCCACCCCGCCUCUCGGGACAGACUCUCCCGUCGUUGCAGAAAUGUGCACGGGCUUCUCUGGAUGGGAGGCGCUGCCCCAGGACUGGAAGGACCACAGCCUGGGGCUUGGGAAGCUUCUGCUGCGCAAUGCGGUAGCCUGCUCUUUGCUGUCUCUUUAUCUCUUUAACGACAAUAAAGCGUCUUGACUUCACCCAG